rnacentral:misc_RNA from 1 species
GACUGAAUGGCUUUACAAUAAGGUUCUAUUCUCCAUAUUCAAGCCAGCACUACUUGUAAAUUACAAAAAUAAAACAUGAAAAAGAAAGACGGGAAGGGGGGAACAACUCAACUUUGAUACAUUGUCAAAUAUUGGAUUAGGACCAAUAUUGCUAAAAGCACUUUUAGGAUCUAUAACUGCUCCUUAUCUGGCAAACCCAAAAAAACCAAAUUGCUAUGUGGUUCAUCAUUGAUUUGUGCACCCAAAUUGAAAUGGAUGGUCACCUUAAAAAAAUGCGUAGACGUAAUUAAUGAAUAUACAAACAUGAAUCAGUAUCCCAGAUGGGCACUGAAACUCGGAAAAACUGAGGCUCAAUUAGGCAUGUUUGCUAAAGUUACUUUUUCACAAUUGUUGUAUUUUUAUACUAAUUGCAAAAGGCCAAAAAAUAAGCCUUAGCAAGUUGACCAAAUGAAGCCUAAAAUAUAGUCAGAUUGUACAGCAUUAGUGCGAGUAACUGACAAACCAAAUGAAAUAGCAGUAGCAUUAUAGGGACUAGUACCUAGUUGGUGGUACUCAUUGUUUCAGAUCAAUUUUUUAAACAUUAAGAAAUAUAAAAUAUUUCUAGUUUCCAUGGUCAUUCCUUCUUCAUGCAGAGUUGCAGUCAUUGAUUUUAAUUUCUUUACCAGCAUGUUUAUAAUGGAAGCUAUUUUUGUGUCAUCCAGCUGAAUUUGAAGAAUUUAAUUAAAAAAAUAUAUCUUAUCCAGAUAUAUUUAUGUGUGCAUUUCCAUUAUAAUUAUCACUCAUUAACCUACCUUCGAAUGACCUCAAACCAGAGCUUCUUCAUCCAUGCUGAGUUGUGCUGACAUGUAUAAUAUUUCUCUCGUAAAAGUAGAGAUUAACAAAAUCUGAAUAAAUAGAAGAUACAAUACACAUGGUUAUGUCAAAUUGAGCAUUUGCUUAGGGAUUUUUCGAAUUUUCCAGGUAUUAUUAAAUUUGU